AGGCUGUCUCCACCCGAGACUCAGUGAAAUUGAACUCGCUGUGAAGAUGCAGUGUACCCGCGGCAAGACGGAAAGACCCCGUGAACCUUUACUAUAGCUUGACACUGAACAUUGAGCCUUGAUGUGUAGGAUAGGUGGGAGGCUUUGAAGUGUGGACGCCAGUCUGCAUGGAGCCGACCUUGAAAUACCACCCUUUAAUGUUUGAUGUUCUAACGUUGGCCCGUUAUCCGGGUUGCGGACAGUGUCUGGUGGGUAGUUUGACUGGGGCGGUCUCCUCCUAAAGAGUAACGGAGG
rnacentral:rRNA from 1 species